AACGAACGCUGGCGGCGCGCUUAACACAUGCAGGUCGAACGAGAAGCCGUAGCAAUACGGUUGUAAAGUGGCAAACGGGUGAGUAAUGCGUGGGUAAUCUACCCUAGGGUGGGGAAUAACUCCUCGAAAGGGGAGCUAAUGCCGACAUGUGCAUCACUCUCGCAAGGGAGUGCUGGAAAGCCGUACCGUGGGUGCGGCGCCCAAGGAUGAGCUCGCGUCCUAUCAGCUUGUUGGCGGGGUAACGGCCCACCAAGGCUGCGACGGGUAGCUGGUCUGAGAGGACGACCAGCCACACUGGGCACUGCGACACGGGCCGGACUCCUACGGGAGGCAGCAGUGAGGAAUAUUGCGCAAUGGGCGAAAGCCUGACGCAGCGACGCCGCGUGGGGAUGAAGGCCUUCGGGUUGUAAACCCC
rnacentral:rRNA from 1 species